rnacentral:tRNA from 2 species
GGGCUUAUAAUAUAAAGGAUAGUAUGUCUGCCUUCGGAGCAGAACAUCGGGGUUCGAAUCCCCGUAAGCCCU